CACGUAGGGGGCAAGCGUUGUCCGGAAUCAUUGGGCGUAAGGAGCUCGUAGGCGGCUCAGUAAGUCGGGUGUGAAACCUCCAGGCUCAACCUGGAGACGCCACCCGAUACUGCUGUGGCUAGAGUCCAGUAGGGGAGUGUGGAAUUCCCGGUGUAGCGGUGAAAUGCGCAGAUAUCGGGAGGAACACCAGCGGCGAAGGCGGCACUCUGGGCUGGUACUGACGCUGAGGAGCGAAAGCGUGGGUAGCAAACAGG
rnacentral:rRNA from 1 species